GUGCUGUCGCUGGCUCUUAGGAGCAUGUGCACGCCCUUUCAAUUCUCUUACCACCUGUGCACCUUUUGUAGACCUGGAUAUCUAUCAACCAAGUUUCGACUUGGCUUGGAUUUGAAGACUGCUGUUGCUCUUGUAGAGUCGGCUUUCUUCACAUUUCUUGGUCUAUGUUUUUAUAUACCCCUUUAUAAAGUUAUAGAAUGUCUUAUCAGUCAGCCUUAAAAAGCAGACUUUAUUAAUACAACUUUCAACAAUGGAUCUCUUGGUUCUCGCAUCGAUGAAGAACGCAGCGAAAUGCGAUAAGUAAUGUGAAUUGCAGAUCUCAGUGAAUCAUCGAAUCUUUGAACGCACCUUGCGCCCUUUGGUAUUCCGAAGGGCAUGCCUGUUUGAGUGUCAUUAAAUUAUCAACUACCACAGCUUUAUUGAUGUGUCGUAGCUUGGAUGUGAGGGUUUGCGGGCUCUAUUUACUGAGUCGGCUCCCUUUAAAUGCAUUAGCGGAACUCUAGUAGUCCGUCUUUUGGUGUGAUAAUUAUCUAUGCCAUGGAUGUGUCUGCGUGUUCAGCUUCUAACUGUCUUUGGACAAUCUUUGACAACUUGACCUCAAAUCAGGUAGGACUACCCGCUGAACUUAAGCAUAUCAAU
rnacentral:rRNA from 1 species